rnacentral:lncRNA from 1 species
UCACCUCACCAACCGUCCCAAGUCUAAGUAACAAAGAAUUUGAUGGUUGGUAUUCGAGAUCUCCAGUUCGAAUCUUAAUUAUACAUGUUCGGCUAAGUUCAUUAUUUUUAAAGAAAUAAACAAAAUGAACGAAGUGGGUAUCAUACUGCCGUUCUCUCUCUCUCUCAAAAAAAAAAAAAAAAAAAACUGCCUCACUUCUCUAAUAAUCACCAUCAACUUUUUCUUUCACCAAAAAAAAUAUUUUUUCCACAAACCAUUUUCAACUGUAACCAAGCACAUGAUAACGCAAC